AUUUUUUUUAAUUAGAUCUUAAAAUGUUGUUAAAAUUUUUGUUUUUCUUUUUUACUAAAGUUCUUGUUACUAACACUUUUUUGUUGUUAAAAUUCUUAAAAUGUUGAAAUUAUUUGUAAUUAAAAUUAUAUUAAGUUGGUUAUUGUUGUUAAGUUUGUUACAUUGUUAAUUAUUUGUUGGUUACACUGUUAAUUAUUUGUUUGUACAUUGUUUAAAUGAUAAAAUUAUUUGUUUCUGGAGUUUUCUUUGUUAUAUUGUUUAAAUGACCAAAUUAUUGGUUUGUUGAGUUGGUUAUGGUUUGUUACAUUGACAAUGAUGAAAUUAUUUGUUUGUUUAGUUGGUUUUUUUUUGUUACAUUGUUUAAAUGAUGAAAUUAUUGGUUUGUUGAGUUGGUUAUUGUUUUUUUACAUUGUCUAAAUGAUGAGAUUAUUUGUUUGUUUAGUUGGUUAUUGUUUGUUACAUUGUUUAAAUGAUAAAAUUAGAUAAAUUUCAUAAUUUAAAAAGCUAGAAUUAUGUCUUCAAAUAUAGAUAGAUUUUAUAAUUUAUUUUUGUUUUCUUUUGUAUAGCUUGGUAGGUUCCAAAAAAUAAUGUCUUCUAAUUAAAGUCUUAUUUCAAGUCCAAGCCCAAAUUUAACCCCAAAUUCAAAGCCAAAUUUAACUUCAUGCUCUUUAAAUGGCGAUAAUUUGAAUGUUCAUUAUUGUGUUAUUCUUGGUGAGGAGAGCAUUGAGAAGGGGUCUUUAAAAAGGAGAUUGACAUCUGUUGUUUGGAACCAUUUUAAGAUUCAAAAAAUAAAUUGAAUAGACAAGGUUGUUUGUAAUUAUUGCAAACGAAAAUUAUGGGGUGAUAGUAAAAAUGGAACCAAGCAUUUGCAUGACCAUAUUAAGAUAUGCCCCUAUAAAGGACAAAAAGACAUACGUCAAUCCCUAUUGAUUCCUAACAGAGAGAAGAACAAUACAUUGGGGUAAUAUAAAUUCGAUUAGAAAGCUGCAAAAAAAACAUUAGCUAGGAUGAUAAUCAAUGAAUAUCCUCUCUCGAUAGUUGAGCAUGACGGUUUUAGGGAAUUUUGUAAUGUUAUCCAACCAUUAUUUAAGAUGGUAUCAAGAAACGCAAUAAAGAAGGAGAUCUUGGAAAUUUACGAGAUUGAGAAGUUGAAAACUAUGACAUUGUUAAAUGAGAUUAAUAGAAAAAUUUCCCUUACAAUGGACAUGUGGACUUCCAACCACCAAACAAAAGGUUAAAUGGUUGUCACUACACAUUUUGUUGAUGAUAGUUGGGUUUUGCGUAACAAAAUAAUCAGGUUUAUAUAUGUCCUUUCUUCACACACUUCUGAGAUGUUUCAUGAAGAAAUAAUGGAAUGUCGGUUAGAUUGGAAUAUUGAUCGAAAGUUGUCAUCUAUAACUGUAGAUAAUUGUAGUACAAAUGACUCCAUGGUUAAUAUGUUUGUUGAUAGUCUGUCUGGUAAUUUAAUCUUGGAUGGAAGUUUCUUUCAUAUGCAGUGUUGUGCUCAUAUUCUGAAUUUAAUUGUGAAGGAUGAGCUGGCAGUGAUAAGACAUGGGAUUGAAAGAGUUUGUAGUAGCGUGGGUUUUUGUGUGCAUACACAAAAAACGAAGGAGAAAUUUUAGGAAAUUGCCGUUUGAAUGUUUAUGAUGAUAGGAUGUUGAGUCUUGAUUGUUGUACUAGGUGGAAUUCUACAUAUUUUAUGUUAGCCAUUACAUUGAAGUACAAUGUUAUUUUUUAUCGAUUAAAACAACGUGAACCAAAAUACAAGUGUUUGCCUUUAGAUCAAGAUUGGGUAUUAACUAAAGAGAUAUGAGAAAAACUGAAAAUAUUUCAUCAUGCAAUUGGAAUAUUUUCUGGAUCCAAAUAUCCUAUUACUAAUCUUUUUUUUGUUUCCUAAAAAUUUGUAAAUUGAAAUUGGCUAUUUUUGAGUGGAUGAAUUUUAGCUUUCAAUAGAUAAGAGACAUGGCUGUAAAUAUGGUUUCAAAGUUUGAUAAGUAUUGGAAGAAAAUUCAUGAGGAAAUGGUCAUAGCUGUAGUUUUAAAUCCUCGUUACAAAUUGAAGCUGAUUGAGUUUUACUUCCCUAGAAUUUAUGGAGAUAUCUUUUUUCUUGAGGUAGAAAGGAUUAAAAAAAUUUGUUCAGAUUUGGAAAGAGAAUAUCAACUGAAGCAUGAAAGUGAAGGUGAUGAUUCUCGCUCUAAAAAUUUGGAUGGAACAUCAAAGAUUGUAGAAUUUGAUAUUUUAAUGAUUAUGACUUGUUUGUAUCAAAUUCCAAUAAGAUGAAUCAGAAGCAACAAUUUGAUGCAUAUUUGGAUGAACUUGUCUUACCCCGAUCAUCUGAUUUUAACAUUUUGAGUUGGUGGAAAUUGAAUGGGGUUAAGUAUCCCAUUUCACAAGAGAUUGCUAAAGAUAUAUUAGCCACUCCCUUAUCUGGUGUCGCAUCAAAGUCUGCUUUUAGUACAUGAGGUCGGAUUGUAAGCCCACAUCGUAACAAGCUUCAUCCGAAGACAAUAGAGACUUUGAUGUACGCUCAAAAUUGGAUUGCAACUGAAGUUUUGACAGUACUGGCACGGGAAAAGAAAUAGUUAAACAUUUAACAACUAUUUUGGAAGAUGCAGAUAACUCGGAUGAAGAUGAAGUGAUAAUUGAGGAAUAAUGCUCAAAACUAAGGAUGGGACGAUCAUAAUGUCAAGAAAUGAGGAAAUUUUGAAGAGAAGACAUCGAUCAAGAGUAAUAUAUAAUCAUGGUUAUUGUAUUUUUAAUUAUAUAAGACAUGAUUUUAAUUGACUUCCUACGCUCGAACUUUAUUUAAUAUAAGUUGUAA